GAAUUAAUGAAUGAAUGAGUGAGUGAGUGAGUGAGUGAAUGAAUGAGUGAGUGAGUGAGCAAGUGAGUGAGUGAGUGAGUGAGUGGUGAGUGAAUGGGUGAGUGAAUAAGUGAAUGAGUGAGUGAGGGAGGGAAUGAAUGAGUGAGUGAAUGAGUGAGUGAGGGAAUGAAUGAAUGAGUGAGUGAGCGAGUGAGUGAACCAGUGGCCCAUGUCUCCCCUGAGACAGUGGAGGGAUAUGUCGAGUACAUGCGUAUUGGAUGCUGCUCCAAACACCUGACUUGCCAGGAGCAGCCAGCUGAGUGGAGGGCAUGAUUCACUGCGAAGGGGACAAGGAGAGCGAAAGUCAUGUCUUGUGGGGUGGAGGGAUCACAUGCAGCAUCCAGACCUAGUGGAGACCUGUCUUUUGUUUCUUUUUUCUUUCCUUUUUAACCAGACAGGGGAUCAAACUCAUAGCAAACACUCUGCCUCUGAGCUAUAUCCCCAGCCCUGGCUUUGGGGAGCUGCCACAGGACGACAAGGCCCUAACCACUUGGAAGUCUUGCACUAUCCCCUUGAGAUGUGGGUUCUGAAAGGGCCUCUGAUGGGCUUCAAAUGGUCCAGAGACCCUUCCUUGCCCAAAAAUCGUCAGGUGCCUGUCCUAACAGUCCUGUGAGGACCUUACCUAAUGACAGGCUGAAGAGUGGACCUCAGAGCCAAACAUGGGUUCUGAUUUUGCAAGAAAAGGAGAAAAAUGCUGGGCAGAUCAAAAUAACUUGUGUCCUCUACCCACUGGAAAGUUCCACAGUGACAAAAGAUGAGUGUCUGAAUCAAGAUCAGGGGUUUCACAAAGCCAGGAAGUGGCAGAGACUGAUGCCCUCCAAUUUCUCCUUCAAAACCUUCUUUAAUACAGAACGCUAUUCUGAGGCUGGAAGUUUCCUCAAAACCCAGGCAAGGUGUGUGGAGCUGGGGAAAGAGCUGUACAUAGUCGGGGAGAGGUGAGGGUGUCAGGGCUUGGGCUGGGUCAUACCCUGGAGGCCAUGCUGCCCCUGAACCUCUGCUCCCCCCAUCGGUAAGAAUGUGGCAGUAACUGACUUUCCAGGGUUGAGUGAGACUGUAGAGGUCAAAGGUUGUACAGACUCCAGUGGUCAUUUUCAACCUGUUUCAAGCCUUCUGCUCUGGACUUUUUCUGUUGGAUCGUGUGUGUGUGUGUGUGUGUGUGUGUGUGUGUGUGUGUGUGUGUGAGUGCCUGUCUGUCUGUCUGUCUGUCUGUCUGUCUGUCUGUCUGUGGAGGCCAGAGGGUCAAUCUUGAGUUUUGUUCUUUAGGAGUUAACUCCCCACCCUUUCCCCUUCUUUUUUCUCUUCCUUUUCUCCUCCUUCUUCUCCAUCACCUUAUCUGAACUGGACCUUGAAAUGUAGACCAGGAUGGCUGAACUUAAACUCACAGAGAUCUGCCUUCCUUUGCUUCAAAUGUGCUGGAAUUCAAGUCAUAUACCACACACCUGGCCAUCUUUUUUUUUUUUUUUUUUUUUUUUUUUUUUUUUUUUUUUUUACUUUUUCUGUUUUUAGACAUCAUCUCUCACUAGCCUGGAGCUCACCAUGUAGGUAAAGCUGACUGAGACAGCCUCAGAGAUCUGCAUGUCUCUGCCUUCCCAGACGCUGUGAUUACAAACCUAUACCUCCACGCCUAAAUGUUUUGUUUUUUAGAUGUGGGUUCUGGGGAUUGAAAUCAGAUCCUCUUCCAUGCACUACUGAUAGAACUACCUUCCCAGCCCUACUCUAGUUUUCCAAAAUCACCCUCACUGCCUUAGACAGCAUUCCUUCCUCCAACAGCAACUGAGCAAGCUGUCCCAGCAUCAGGGCUCUAGGAUAGGCUCAAAUGUACAGUCUCUAUCUUUGAAUAGAGCCAGCAUUGCCUGGAAGCCCAUUAACUUGUUUGUCUACUGGGUCUGUGUGGCCAGCGCCCCAUGCCAGCUUAUGCAUGCCUGCAUUUUAAAAGGUUUUAAUGUGUCACUGUUUAAUUCUUCCUGGGGAGAUAUUUUCUAGGCGAUAGCGAUAUUUUGUAAAUAAUAUACUUAUUUAGUAUCGGGUCUGUGGGGGAAGGCAAGGUCAGUGCACAGCCAGCGAAGCUCCUUUGCAGCCCAGGUCAGGUGGGAGGGACUCCUGAGCAGUGGCUUCUAGGAACUACAGUGGGUCCAGGCAGUGUCCGGGACACUUCCUAGAGACCAUGACCCAUAGUGGCAAGUGUGAAGACUAAUUAAAGGAUAUCAAAGACAAGUGGCCAAGAGAUUCUGGCUGCUAAAAAAAACAAAGGCAGCCAGCCUAGGACUGCACAGUCACCCUCCCCACAAUACCUCCCCUCCCAACCCCACACACUUGAUUUUGCUUCACCUGACUUUCUGCCACUGAUAGACAGUGACUGUGGGUAUGGCCUUUGUUUUUGUUGCUUGUUUUGUUUUGUUUUGUUUGAGACAGUGUCUCAUGGAGUCUAGACUGGCAUCAAACUCAAUAUGUAGUCAAGGAUGGCCCUGAACCCCUAAUCUUCCUACCUACACCUCCCAAGUCCUGGGAUUACAAGUGUGCAGUACCUUGACAGCAUAAUGUGGUGGUAGGAAUGGAGCUCGGGGCAAAGAACCCAGGGAAUUUACUGUCUGCUUGGACCCAGGUGGGUGAUCUCCACCUGGAAAAGUGAGGGACCAGAACAGACAGGGCUUCCCAGGAGUCAGAUAGCUGGGACUGGACCCUUCAGUCUGUGACUCUGCAGCCGUGCAGUUUGUGCCACUGGCUACAGAUGAGGAGCCCGUGGGCCACAGUGCAAGGGACAGAGGUGCCCUACAGAGCAACAUCUAGAGGAUCUAGAGGAAUGGCAGAAAGCAAUGGUGGGAUGGCCCAGCAGAGAGGGUGUCUAAGGAGCAAUUAACAUUACUCCUCAGUUGCGGGUAGGGUUGACGACCAUGAACAGAAACACAGGAAGAAGGGAUUUCUUUUCAACCCAGCAAAUAUUUAGGUUAGUGGUUUUACCUCUUGGUUGUUGGCUACCUAGUUGCUUGCAUGCUUGGUUGGUUGGUUCAUUGAUUGGUUAAUGAUUCAGUUGGUUGGUCAAUGGGUUGGUUGGUUAAUUGGUUGGUGUGACUCAGUUACUAGAAUAAUUGGUGGUUCAGUUGGUUAGUUAUUCCAUUGGUUGGUUGGUUGAUCCGUUGGUUGGUUAGUUAGUGGAUUGUUUAUUCAGCCUGUUGGUUGGUUGGUUGUUCCAUUAGUUGUCUAAUUGUUUGAUUGGUUGAUUGUAUAGUUGGUUGGGUGGUUUAUUUGUGGUUCAUCUGGUUAGUUGGUGUGUGAUUCAGCUGGUUGGUGGGUGGGUGGGUUGGUGGGUGAAUGGUUCAACUGGUUGGUUAGUUGGUUGGUUGGUUGGUUGGUUGGGGAUUGUCAAUAUGGAAAAAUAUUAGGUUCUGUUGCCUAUUUGAAGUCUUUCCUGAACUUCCUGACUUAAGAAAACUCCGUCAGAGGCUGGGAUGUAGCUUAGUGAUGGGACACUUGCCUAACAUGUAAAAGGCCAUGGAGCCCACCUCCAGUACCACAAAGAAAACAGGAGGAGGAGUGUCAAGAGUGAGGGAAAUGGAGAGGGCCAGGGCAGUUCCAGAACUUAAUCUACCUCCCACUUACACAAAAGUGUUUAUCCAUUCAAGAAAGUUUCAUCUGGGCUCCCUUUUACAGCCCUAUUCAGGCCAUUUGAUGAUGUUAACUCCUUGUUAAAGUUCGUGCCAUUCUACACAAAGGAGUUUCACUUUAAUGCCAAGGUCAUGGAUGUGGUAGGGAUGCUACCACACACAAACACACACACACACACACACACACACACACACACACACACACACACACACACACACACACACGAGACUGGCUCCCCAGCCUCACCAUGAGCAGGCUGGAGGCGCCCAGAAAGCUCUCAAGGUCUCUAGGCUGCCAGACAUGCCUCCCAGCCUCCAUCAGGUCUGGCCCUUGCUGAUGGCUGGUGAUAGGGCUCCUCCAUGGACCAACCUCCCCUGCCUUGCUUUUCAGCAAACAUUCCAGGGGGGUUUAUCAGCCUGUGGCUAAUGUGGAUUGUCAUUCAUUUCAUCUGUAUCACAGCCUAGAUGCAAAACAAACAGAAAGCUGUAUUAAAAAAAAAAAAAAAGUCACAAUGGCACAGAGGAUCUGGCUGAAUUUGUGAAAACAAACUGUGCCGCUCAGGUGCCAGCACGGAGGCAGCACAGUUUUCUGAUAGCGAGACCAGAACAGCUCUAGGCUGCUUCUGCCUUCCUGAACUCCCCUGGGGUCCUCUAUGACUCUCCAUAAGGAAAGGGUCCAGUAGGCACAAAAGCAAACACGGCCUAAACUGCCUGCGGAUCCCAGGCUGCCAUGGCCACAAGGCAUGUUCUUUGAGGGAGCACCUUUCCACCCAGCAAAUCCCCAAGCUGGGGGAUGCUGGGGAGAAGCUUGGAGGGUGCUAUGAGCCAGAGUAGGCUUAAGAGAAGGCCCGCCUCUCCUGUCAGGAGCCAGGCCCUGUACAUGUGGCUCACACUCUGUCCUUUUAUCCUCAGAACGAGCCAGUGAGGUAGCACUCCUUGGGUGGCCUUCUUUAUCUACAGUUUCUCCAUCCAGCAUGACUUGGAAAUAUUCAGGGCAAAGGAUGGCAUCUGUGCUGAAUAUGCACAGAUAUUUUUCCAUGUUGUUCCCUAAACACAGCAGAUUUUCCAUCUCCACAGCAUGUGCGCUCAUUCAGCAUUUGAUGUACCAGAGUAGAUUUAAAGAUCUCGGGAAGAUGUACACAGGUUCUGUGCAAAUACACCGUAGUACCACACAAGGGGUGUUGGAGUCUCAAACCCACCCCAAGGAUGGGGGGGGGAAGCAGUGAGGUCCUAUCCCCAUCUGUCAGGUGAGCGAGAUGAAGCUCCAGCCACCCUGUACUGGGGGUCACUGUGCCUGGGGUCACAGCAGCUUUUGAGUUCUGCAAAUAGCAGCCAGGGGCCCAACUCUGAGGCAAGUUGACUGUUUUCAAAGAACCUCUGGGUUUGUUAUCCUACUUCAUCUUCCUGUACCGGGGUUUCUCUAUGUCUCACCAGCCUGUUGGUACAAAUGAGUCACCUAGUCAACCGGUAAUCAACUCACUAGCCCAGCCGCACCUCUGCCCCCCACUCACCGGGUCCUUCGGCACCCCACCUCAACACUUUGAGGGCUCUCUCCUCCUUCAAGGUUUACCUGGUAGAGGGCACUGUCAAGGAAUCUGGCAGAGUGGGCCUUCCGGGGCUAGAAAGGGGUGACCUACUAGAAGUAGGGGACCAGGGCUCUGGUGGCCCUGUGAGUGCACAACCUCAGUGCUACCCCCACCCUCUGGGAGCUUUGCUUUUUCUUAUCUAUGGGGGGAGGGGAGGAGAAGUACUAUUGGGUCUCAGUAUGUCCUCCAAACAUCUACAGACUGUGGCAUAGGCCCUCAGUAAGAUACACACUAGUAGCUACACUACACAGCCCAUGUGCAGUGGGGAAAGCUCCAGAAGGGAAUGAGGCUAGCUAUUAUGGGAAGGGAUCCUCCUGGCUGGGUGAAGCCCAAACCACCAGUCACAGAGGACUUAACUAGCCAGGUUCUGUGCUGGGGGCUUUCACUAUCAUAACCCCACCUGUCCCUCCAAGUCAAGUGGGGUAGGAACCAGGAAACUGAUGAGGCUCAGAGGGACCAAGCCACUGGCCUGAAGUCACAAAGCUAAUGAGCAGCGGGCUCCUGUAGAAUUAAAUCUGAGGAACACUCUUGAAUGUUGUCUUUACCACUGUGAGACCCAGCAUUGAGAAAUCAGCUCACCUCAUGAGAUCUUCAGUUAGGAGUCCUUACUACGUUGACUGCAGUUCUUAGGCUAGGAUCUCCCUAUCCUUACUGUGGGAAGGACAGGAAUUCCCUGAAUUCCAGAAGGAGCCAGGGGGUGUACUUUCACUCUGGCGCUGGGGAUGUGGCUCAGUUGGUAGAACACUUGCCUAGCAUGCUUGACGCCCUGGAUUCUGUCCCUAGCACUGCACUAACCAGGUGUGAGACACAAAACCUGCAAUCCCAUCACUUGGGAAAUAGAAGCAGGAAAAUCACAAGUUUAAGGUCAUCUGCACCUGCUCAUUAGCCAGCUAAUGAGAAGGUCUCAGAAAGAGGAAAGAGAGGGAGGGGGAGGGUUGGAAGAGGGGAGGAGGGAAGGAAUGAGGCUAGAAGAUAGAAUAAACAUUGGUGAGGUUGGGUGGCCUCUCUCUCUUGAGUGACCAUUCCAGGGUGGACCAAAAUGCCACCCUUUUUCCCUUAAGUAGAUACAAGCAUUUUUUGUCCAUUUAAAAAUUAAUUAAUGCAGGAGUCUAGAAAGAUAGACUUCAUCAAUGAAGAGCACUGGCUGCUCUUGCAAAGAACCCAGAUUCAAUUCCCAGCGCCCACCUGACAUCUCUCAACCCUUCUGUGACUCCAGUGCUGGGAUCCGAUGCCCUCUUCUGACCUCCACAGGCAACAAGCACACAUGUGGUACACAGACAUACAGGCAGACAAAACACCUGUACACGUUUUUAAUGAAUUCAAACAACAUUUUCCAAAAUGAACCAGUGCUUAGCAAGAUGGUAUUUGGCUGCAGUCUUGCAAGCCAGCUCCUGGACCUGCUGUGUGUGGCCCUAUACCCUGUCUUAUCCAGCACCUUGCCCUGAGUUUGUCAGUUUUCUGUUUUCUUCAUGGUUCUCUGGCCACACUAAACAAUUGAAACUCCUGGUGAGCUUUUAAAAAUGCUAUAAAUAGACCCAGGCCCUUUUGAUCAGCCGCACUGAAGAUGAUGGCUACAGGAGGCCUCUGGGUGCCACCUGAGCCUCAGUUUGCCCAAGUAGGACAAGCCUGGGGACCAGUAAGGGAGGGGCUGACUUCACCAUCUCCUUCCCGUCCAUUCCCCUUUCCACCACACCCAGGAAGUGAUCUCCACCCCUCCGCCCCCAUCUAUGUGGUCCCAUCUCCUUCUUGUGUCUUGUAAGCUUUGCACACAGUAGGUGUUCAGUAAACCUUUGGAAGCAAAUCCAGGAAGUGGCUCCUAUGACUGUUCUGUGUAUGCACACAAGUGUGUGUGCUCUUGUAUAGGGGUGUAGGCACAUUCAUGCCACAGUGCACUAAUAGAGGCCAAAGGCUAAACCUCAGGUGUUGCUCCCCGCUUUGUUCUUGCACAAGCCAGACUAGCUGGCCUUCCCUCCAUUCUCCUGUCUCCACUUUCCAUCUCCUGGUUGUGGAUGCUGGGAUUACAACCAUUUAGGCCAUCGCUUUUACGUGGGCUCUGGAGACCUGAACUCAGUUCUUCAGUCUUGUGUACUUGCCCAAUGAGCCUUCUCCAAAGCCCCCUUCAGCUAUUCUCUGGCAGAUGACUGUGUCUCAACUGACUCUGUAGAAGCCUAAAGAAUUUCACCAAAAGAGACUGGACCGUAGCUCGGGUCGGGAGUUAGGGGAAUGCAGAACACCUUCCUGGCAUGCAAGGGGCCCUGGGUUCCAUCCCUAGCCCUGCAAACAUACCUAAGGAAAGAAACCAAAAGACCCUGCAUGAUGAGACCCAAUGUUCCAGGGCCAUGCAGGCAGCAAAGAUCUCCCAUAAGCUGAGCACGAGUGUGCCCCUUACACCUGCCCUUCAUAGCAAUAUGUUUUGACUUAAAAAAAAAAAAAAAGUCUUGAGGCCAGCUGUGGUGGCACAAGUCUUUAAUCCCAGAACUGAGGCAGGGGGAGGCAGAUCUCUGAGAUGGAGGCCAGAGCAAGUUCCAGAAUAGCUAAGGCUACACAGAGAAACCUGUCUUUAAAAAAAAAUGUAGAAAAAUGUAAAAGGCUUGAGGCUGGAGAGAUGGCUCAGGGGUUAAGAGCACACACUGCUUUUCCAGAAGGCCUGCAUUUGGUUCCCAGCAUCCAUAUCAGGUGACUCAGAACUGCCUGUAACUCCAGCUCCAGGGGCCUCUACCCUCUUCAGGCCCUCCCCCUCUGUGCUGCUCUUGCUUUACAUACUUCCUUUUCUUUGUUUAUUAUUUUAUUUAUUAUAUUUUUUAAUUUUUUUUUACAACUUUAAAAAAAAAUAGAAGUUGCCAGAUGUGGUGGCGCACGCUUUUAAUCCCAGCACUCAGCAAGCAGAGGCCGGUGGAUCUCUGUGAGUUUGAGGCCAGCCUGGUCUACAAACUGAGUCCCAGACCAGCCAAGGCUACCUGGUGAAAAAAAAAAAACAAACAAAUCCAUCUUUUGUGGUUAAGGAGAUUGGAGACAAUCUGUGUUUGGAUUUGAAUUUAUGUUUCCUUGAAUCCUAGAGAGGAAGAAUUUUUAUGUUACAUAUUAGUCAUUUCCGUGGCUUCUUCUGUGGAUUAUCUGUUCCCAAUUUACUAAUUUACAGUGAAAAUAUCACUGCCAAAGGGACCAGAUACAUAUGUCCUGCUGCCAACACUUGAGCUCCCUGUAGGAACAGUCCACAGAAAGCCAAAUCAAAUCAGAGUGAUGCUUGGUAAGCAGGAGGCUUGGGAGGGACUGUUGAGGAGACUCUGGUGGCUAAUGGCACGGGGGACCUCCCUGCCUCCAUCUGCUGCUCUCUUGCAUGCCCAGCCUUUCUUUGGAUGGACAUUUCAGUAUUAGAAAUAUUACUGUAGGUGCAUACCUGACCUGAAAUCCCGGCACUUGGGAGGUGCAGGCAGGAGAACAGGUGUUCAAGGUCAGCCCGGCCCCAACUAUAUAAAGAGUUUAAAGCCAACCUGAGCUACACAGGACUCGGUCAAAGAAUAAGAAGGACAAACAGAUAUUACUGUGCUCUGAGCAGACCCCUGUCGUCCUAGCUGUACAAAAGGCCAAGGCAGGAGGUUGACUUGAGCCGGAGAGUUUGAGAAUAGCCUGAACAACAGAGCCAGAGAGGGACAGAGGAGGGAGGGAAGGAGAAAAAGGAUAGCAACCAAUCACUUAGGGCUCUCUCUGGUCUAGCACACCCCCGCUCCCCUUUUUUUUCCUUCUGGUUUUGUUGCUUAAAGACAGGGUCUCACUCUGUAGCCCAAGCUGGCCUGGAACUCAUGUCAAUCUAGCAUCUCUUCCAAGCCAGUCAUUUGACCGCUCAGAGGACAAACUUGGCCCUCUCUGCCUCCUCAGCUGCACACCCAUUCCCAGGACAGUUACAAAGCACAGCUGAUACCUUUGGGGUGCCUGUCUUCCUGGUUGUUCGAAAGCAAAAGUAGUGUUGGGGUCUGUGAAACCUGACGCCGGGUUCCUUGCACAAAGCAGUUGUGCACAGAGCCUGUAGAUUUCCUUUCCUGAGUCUUCAGACAGCUCUCUGACCUACGCAAGGUCAAGACUCACUAUGACUGAAGCCUUGAGCACACAAAGUGAGGAGGGAAGAAUGAGAAGAGCCUGACAAGCAUGAAGUUCUGGGUUCAAAUCCCACCACCACAGAGAGAGGAGGAACCAGAGAGGGACUCUAGGAGGAGGGUGAGUAUAGAGGAGGUGGGAGGAAACAGGAUGUGGGGUGGGCAACCCUGGGGCCCUCUUGCCUGCAGCUCCUAAAAGAACAGCCUCUUCCGUAGGGCCCUGGGCCCUCUGGUUUGUUCUCCACCCCCGGCCUCCACAGUCCAAACCAGGCUGAAUCACUGCCCCUGAAGCCUUCCAGGUGUCCCUUUGUAUAAAGAUCCAAAUUCCUAAGAACACCAGGUGAAGCCCUUCACAUGGCCCCAACUUUUCUUUCCAGGCUUAGAGACUUAGAUUCCAAUUCUGGUCUACCACAGCUUUGGUUGUCAGAUCCUUUGGCCUGUCUGGACCUGGCUCCUCAUCUGUGGAAGAGACAGGGAUGCUGACUCUGUAAAGGGGUCUUCUGAUGACGAACCAUGCAUACGUUAUAAUAAUAGUACAAUGACAUCGUAACAGUGCUUAGAAAUACAAUUUUCCUGGGCUGGUGAGAGGGCAUCAGCUGAUAAAGGCACUUGCAAUCAAGCCUGACUAUCGGGGUUCAGUACCCUGCACCGAUCGGCUAGAAGAGGAAAACCAGCACCUAAAAGAUGUCAUCUGGCCUCCCACGUGAGCACUCCCACACACACCUACAGAUACACAAAUAAAUAAAUGCAACUUUAAAAUUUUAAUAUAAUCAUUUCUACUAGAAUGUAAAUAUAAAAACUAAAAUCUUGAAGCAACUUGAAGCCCCCCAAUCAGGAAGCAAGGGUGGUAGCCACAACCUCUCUGGGGCAGAAUUUUAAAGCCUAAGGAUAUGGUAUAUCUACUCUGUCACACAAAGCCUUAUGUGGCCCUGGCGAGACCAUGCAGUGAAAUAAACACAUGUGAUGACCAGGAGGGUACAGCUCAGGACGCUGAGCUCUGCUACCCUACAGCUGUGUGACAUACAGCAAGUUACAAUUAGGGAUCACCUACUGUCCCUGAGAGUAUGUGACUACUGCAAGCCCUUUCCUCUUAGUCCCUAGGACAGCAGGCCGUAUGGGAAGAGAGAUUGGACAAGAGGUGCUGGCCAAAGCAAAAAGGGGAAACUGAGGCCUCCUGUAGCAAGCAUGCUAGGUGUUCCAUGAAUUUCUAUAUCCACCCCAGCCAGGCAAGAAGCAUGGACGCCAGCUCCACGUUCUUGGCAUUUGCCCUGCUCUGUAGACAGCUGAGAAAGGCGCUCAGAGAAGGAAGAGUCUGAGGAAGGUUCCGGAACACGUGGCCAGCUGCUUCUCCCAUCAGCAGCUCUUAAACAAACAGCGUGCUUCCUCCGUUUGCAAGUCCUGGGGACCGCACAUGAGGAAUUUUUUUUCUCUCCUCCUUUUUUUGCUGAUUAAGUUCCCCCAAAACCCCCUUAAGAAUUUUAAUAAGAAAUGCAAAAAUCAACAAAAGUGCAGCAAAGCCUUUCCUGUUAUUAAAUAAGGGAAAGCAAAUAUUGCAGAUCGGACAUAUUUCAUAAGAGGAUGUUAUGUUUGGGUGGGAAAAAAUGACAGAGAAAAGAAAGGGCUAAUUUGCUUUCUGGCAGCAAAUGUCUUUGCUGAAAUUUGGUUUCAAAUCUGAUGACUGGGGCAUUAUCACCGGCUUGCCUGGAAUUUAGGCCUUUGACAUAUGAGAUGUAUGUGCUCCAAUAAGCAGGAAAACUGGGGUUUGGACCUCUAUACUGUAGCAGAGAAGAGAAUUCUGUAGCCACCCAGGAAAUUAUGAUCCUUCAGGGACUACAUGUAAGGCAAAAGCAACCUGGAACAAAGAACACUUGGGUUUUGAGAGAGAGAAAACAAGGUAAACGCUCUCUAUAAUACCUUUUUAGACAGAGGAGUGAACUAAACUGCUGACGUUCUGGUCUCAGCACAGGGAGAGGGCCUGCUGCUGCUGGACAAGGCUUUGACCACUGCCUCAGCUUCUUCUCUGUGUCACCUAAGGUAAAGUGCAUAGCUGUUGUGACUCUCACUUUCCUCAUCUUUAAGAUGGAGAGGAAUCCAUGGAAAGAUAGCUUAAUGGGUAAGAGCUCUUAGUCGGUCAGAGCACUGACUGUUCUUGCAGAAGACCCUGGUUCAGUUCCCAGCACCCAUAUAGCAAGCAGCUCACAACUGCCUGUAACUCCAGUGCCAGGGGAAUCCAACAUUCUCUUCUGGCUUCACAGACAUGGCACUCCUGUGAUGUACAUAAACACACACAGGCAAGCGCACACACAUAUAAAACAAAUAAAACCUAAGAAGAAUAAAAAUGAAUGAAUGAAUGAAUGAAUGAAUGAAUGAAUGAAUGGAGAGAGUGAACAGCGCUUACUGAGAGUGGUGAGGUGAGCACAUGUUGCUGCUCUUGUUGCUAUGGAGAAACUCCUGACAGAAGCAACUUAAGGGAGAAAGAAUUUAUCUGGCUCACAGUUUCAGGGAACACCACCCAUCAGGCUUUGUGAUCGGUUCCGUGCUGGGUGCUUGCAGCUUCUCCCACCAUGGUAGACCAGGAGGCAAAGGCUCAGGCAGGAGCCCCAUGACCCACUUUCGCUAGCUAUGCCACUCCGUAAGAUUCCAUGACCUCCCAAAACAGCCACUAGGCAGAGACCAAGUAAACAAACACAUGAUCUAGCAGGGAACAUUACACGUGCAAAGUCUAAGAGUGAGGAAUAAAAGAGCAGAAAAAUGGGCUUCUGGAAGCAACACACUCAGCUCACCAUGACAAGUGGAAAGGGAAAAAAAUGUAAGAGAAAAAGGUCACACAGCCGUGCACCAAAGACUGGAAUGUGCUCUGAGGAAUGAGUAAGAGGUGACAACUGUGCUACACACGCCUCAGCCAUCUGUCCUGCACACUUAGGCUAAGUGGUAGAGCCUGUCACAUGUUAAGGUUGUAAACUCUAGCCUGCCACACACCAAGGUUCUAUGGUAUAUCUUGCCACAUGGUGGGACUGCAUGGUCUAGCCUGCUACACACCAACGUACAACCCUGUUGCUCCAUUGUGCAGCAUAUAGGUCAUUUGAUUGCUUCUUUCUCUGUCAUGAUCAAUAGAACACUGACACUAUGAUUUUGCAUGCUGGUCAGCAAAAGUGAAAACUGGGUUUACUUUCUGGCUGGAGCACCUGACACAGAAAGUGGGUGCCACCCUUCGAGGACACCUGUUAUGAAAUAGUCUGUGGGACCAGGGCUUCAGAGAAAAUGACCAAAGCAAAGGACAGUGAGGAAGUGGCCUCAGGGUGUGGGCGCUGCCAGUCAGCAGCGUCCAAGAUAAAAUUACAUGGUCCUGGCCUCCAUCCUCUGUGUUCCCCCCAGAGGUCCAAUGGUCUCACUAGCCACAUCCAUCUCCCCCAAAGGAGUGACAGAAGCAGGGGGUGGAUACCUGGGCCCUGGAAAUGCCGUGAAUGGGACCUCACCAGCUACAAAUCUCAGGCCCGUGUUUGUAGUCCCAGGACUGGGGCCCCGGCUAUCUUCAGGCCGCCACCUUCAGACCCCAGACAAGAAAGCCAGGCUUAGGUGUCAUCUCAUUUGAGUUUACUUCCCUGAAGCAUCGUUAGUAUUUACAUAAAUAGUAGAAGAAAUAAUGUGGCAAUCGCUUGUACACCUACCACCCAGAUUUAUCUCCAUGGUGUUUUUGUUUGUUUAUUUUAUUUCAAGGACAAAGUAUUAGAAACAAAGUUAAAGUUCCCUUAUCCACUGCCAAGUACCGCAGAAGACUGGGCAUUUGGUAUAUGAACAUAUCUUUUUGUACAUCCAGUGUGUAAUGUUGUGUGUUUUAGUUUUCAAAAGUAGGAUGUAUAUUAUCUUGCAUCUUGCUUUUAUCAGGUGUUUGAAAUUUGUCUGUUGAUACACUUCUGUGGGUACAUAUUAAUAAUAAUUUGUUCUUUUUUACUGCUGCUAUACAGUGUGUGUGCCCUUCCUUCUAAGGAGGAAUAGUUAGGUUUUCUCUAUUAAAAAAAAAACAACAACAACAACCACAAGUCAACUACAACCCACUCAUCUUGAUUUACAAGAGGAAGAUGUUGGAAAGAUACAUCAGGGUGUGAGAAUUCUUUCUAUUCUUCCCGAGAGCCUAAGUUGCAUUCACAGCACCCAUACCCAGUGGCUCAACUGCCUGUCACUCCAGCUCCAGUAGUUCCAACGACCUGUUCUGGCUUCCCCAUGCAGCUUGGUGAGUGCACACAAACACACACAUAAAUAGAAAAACACUUUUUAAGUCAUCUGGAACUGAGAGAUGGCUUGGUGAUUAAGAACACUUACUGUUCUGUCCUGCGGGGGACUGGAGUCAAUUCCCAGCAUCACGUCAAGCAGCUCACAAAUGCCUGAAUCCAUACACAGACACAUAUGUACACACAGCUUUAAAAAGAAAAUCUUUGGCAGGGCAAUGGUGGCACACAUAAUCGGGAGGCAGAGGCAGGAGGAUCUCUGUGAGUUCAAGAUCAGCCUGAUCUAUAGAGUGAUUUCCAGGAUAGGCUCCAAAGCUACAGGGAACCCCUGUCUCGAGAAAAGAAGAAAAGAAGAAGAAGAAGAGGAGGAGGAGGAGGAGGAGGAG
ensembl:lncRNA